GACGAACGCUGGCGGCGUGCUUAACACAUGCAAGUCGAACGGAAAGGCCCUGCUUGCCGGGUACUCGAGUGGCGAACGGGUGAGUAACACGUGGGUGAUCUGCCCUGCACUUCGGGAUAAGCCUGGGAAACUGGGUCUAAUACCGGAUAGGAGCCAUUUUUAGUGUGAUGGUUGGAAAGUUUUUUCGGUGUAGGAUGAGCUCGCGGCCUAUCAGCUUGUUGGUGGGGUAAUGGCCUACCAAGGCGGCGACGGGUAGCCGGCCUGAGAGGGUGGACGGCCACAUUGGGACUGAGAGACGGCCCAGACGCCGACGGGAGGCAGCAGGGGGGAAUAUUGCACAAUGGGCGCAAGCCUGAUGCAGCGACGCCGCGUGGGGGAUGACGGCCUUCGGGUUGUAAACUCCUUUCGCUAGGGACGAAGCUUUUUGUGACGGUACCUAGAUAAGAAGCACCGGCUAACUACGUG
rnacentral:rRNA from 1 species